ACGAACGCUGGCGGCGUGCCUAAUACAUGCAAGUCGAACGAACCGCGACUAGGUGCUUGCACUUGGUCAAGGUGAGUGGCGAACGGGUGAGUAACACGUGGGUAACCUACCUCAUAGUGGGGGAUAACAGUCGGAAACGACUGCUAAUACCGCAUAGGACAUAGGAUCACAUGAUUCUGUGAGGAAAGGUGGCGCAAGCUAUCGCUAAGAGAUGGACCCGCGGUGCAUUAGCUAGUUGGUAGGGUAAAGGCCUACCAAGGCGAUGAUGCAUAGCCGACCUGAGAGGGUGAUCGGCCACAUUGGGACUGAGACACGGCCCAAACUCCUACGGGAGGCAGCAGUAGGGAAUCUUCCGCAAUGGACGCAAGUCUGACGGAGCAACGCCGCGUGAGUGAAGAAGGUCUUCGGAUCGUAAAGCUCUGUUGUUAGAGAAGAACAGCGCAUAGAGUAACUGUUAUGCGUGUGACGGUAUCUAACCAGAAAGCCACGGCUAACUACGU
rnacentral:rRNA from 1 species